rnacentral:rRNA from 1 species
UACGGGGGGGGCAAGCGUUGUUCGGAAUUACUGGGCGUAAAGGGCUCGUAGGCGGCCAACUAAGUCGGACGUGAAAUCCCCAGGCUCAACCUGGGAACUGCGUCUGAUACUGGAUGGCUUGAAUUCGGGAGAGGGAUGCGGAAUUCCAGGUGUAGCGGUGAAAUGCGUAGAUAUCUGGAGGAACACCGGUGGCGAAGGCGGCAUCCUGGACCGACAUUGACGCUGAUGAGCGAAAGCUAGGGGAGCAAACGGG